GGCGGCGCUCGCUGUGUCCGCGCCCCUCCCCCGAGUGUCCGUGAGGGCGGGGAGCGGCACCGCGGGGAUUCUGCCACGGGGAAAUGGGGCCGGGGCCUUUCCCCUGGAAUGCUCCCGCAGCGUCUUUAACGGGUACAAAGCACGUUAACUCCGCCAGAGACCGCUAACGUCUGUCCCCUCAGCCAGGGACCGCGCCGCCCUGUGGGGGGAGUAAGCCCCCCACACUCACUUGGUCAGGAGUCAGAGUCACACAACUUCUGACUAUCACGGAGACUGAAUAUGGGAAAUGUUUUAUGGUCUAAAUUUUGUAGGCAUCCCUCCAGGCAAAGCGGGCUGCAGUGGAGUGCCCCGGCCCGGGACUCCGCCCUGCCGUCGCCACAUCGCUGCAGCAAGGAAAGGUUUGAGGGCAGCGGCUCGAAGGAGGAGCAGCCCUGCCCCAGAAGGACAGCGCGCUCCUGCCGAUGGUAGGAUGUGUACAGCUGUGUACCGAAACCUGGAGAAGAAAAAAAAGAAAAUCUGCACUGUAACCAGAAGACUCAAGAGCUCUACUUGAAAUGUAAGAGUGUGGAAAGUACUGCCCUGUGACCCUCUAUGUGAAAACCAGCUAGAAAGAUAAAAUGAUGGCAUCCUUAGAAAUGCAAGUCUUUCAUGGUAGUGGUUGAAAACACCAAGUAUUAAAAUUUUCAUUUAUUGCCAUUUUGGGUGGCUUUUGAGAAACUUGUUUGUUUACCCAGAAUGGUACGCUAUCAUUUUCG